rnacentral:rRNA from 1 species
GAUGAACGCUGGCGGCGUGCCUAAUACAUGCAAGUCGAACGGAGAUUGUAGCAAUACAUUCUUAGUGGCGAACGGGUGAGUAACGCGUUGGUGACCUGCCCCAAAGUAAGGGAUAACAGCCCGAAAGGGUUGCUAAUACCUCAUAUGGUCUUUGAGAUUAGAUGCUCUUAGACUAAAGGAGUAAUUCGCUUUGGGAGGGGCCUGCGUCCCAUCAGCUUGUUGGUAGGGUAAUGGCCUACCAAGGCUGUGACGGGUAGGGGACCUGAGAGGGUGGCCCCCCACAAUGGAACUGAAACACGGUCCAUACACCUACGGGUGGCUG